AAAAUACAUCGUUGUUAAUCCAGGAUUUUAAAUUAAAACGGUCACUGGGUUUUAUGUAAAUUAGUGCCAAAAACAUCAAACAGCCAAAGAGCUAUGUAUUUGCACAUUAUUCACCAUUAAGAUGGAACCAGCGAUCAAGCUCAGUUUACGAUCAAGAGGACAUUAAUAUGUAACGUGCGCCACCUCGUGGAGUAAUACGUACGUCACGAGCAAAAUCUCAAAAUGUUGGUGUUUUUACGUACAGCAGUACAGCAGUGAUAUGCUUCCGUUCGCCGAUGAGAUAAAGAAAGUUCGCACAUUGCUAAAAACCCCUCAAAGUAGAAAAAAACUGUUAUUCUAUAUGAGCCAGUCAAGGUGCUUUCCAGAAGGCGGGGUUAAUAUUUUAAGUUGAGGAGUCGGAAGCAGAACUUGCUCAUUCAGUCAGGAUAAUCGAAGAGGAAAGACGUUACUUAUAAUUCUCAAGAUGCCUGCACUGCAAAUUAAGGACUCUGAGAAUUUUCACUUACACUUGCAAAAUGAAAAUACAACAGGUGCUAAUGACGCCACCUGCCAUGAUGAACACUACUAUCUCUUGGCUGCUCUUCUCUUUGUCAUAAUUCUGGGCCUCCUCCUAUUCAGCGUGAAAGCCAACAGGGAGACAAAUAUUCAUCAGCGCAAAAGAGGACCAAGUAAGCCCGCUCUAUCAAUAGAGGAAACGCAGCCACAUGCUGGACUCUACGUUGCCACCUAUGAGUAAGAAGGACAGAGUGACUGACAUGAAGCUGAACCGCCGUUACCACCGGUACUCUCCUCAGGAAGAUGGCAACGAUGUGAAGACAAAACAAGAGAGGUUUCGCAAACCAAUCUAUCCUUCAUCUCACAUCCAGAGCCAUAGAUUUCUUUUGAAGGCCAAAAGAUGCAAAAACAAGUGACUGUUGGCUCCAAAACUGACACACAGUUCUUCCACCUGGAAGUGACUGCACUCUUCUCAACCACAUUUCUUAAAUUUACUAUUAUCAGGCAUUUUCAGGACCAGUUUAAGGAUUUAAUGAGCCCUUAAGUAAGGGAGAAGGGCCCAGCCUAGCUCUGUUGCAUUAGACUCGUAAUCUCAGGGUAGUGGGUUCGUGUCCCACGUCGGGUGCAAGAGUUUUUAACAACCCAUACUGGGCGGCGGCAGUAUGGGGGAGCGGUGUUGGAGGUACGUGUGUGGAAGAAAGGCCUGGCAAUCCACUUCCGUAUCUUGCCAUGAAAACUCUAUGGAUAGUGAGAGGGGAAAUAUCCAUAGGGUCACCAUGAGUCAGUGGCACUCAACAAAAACAAGAAGUGAAAACCAAUUUAAUGAAACAAAUGCCUGAAGAAGUUGGUUUGACAAGUGCGGUUGACCAUUCUAGGGACAGAUUGUGUCAUCAAUUAUAGAACAAGAAACUUGAAGUGCAGAAUGUUUGUCCAGCAACCAGGAAGGUAGUUAGGUUGUUGACCACGAACUGAUGCAUCACAGUUUACAUCAUCAGCAUUAUGUUUGUAAUAAACAGCUCUCAGGUGCAAACAAUUCUGGUGCAGACCAUAUCUGCUGAUCUGCAUCAGCGUAAAUAGGAACUACUUGUGCAACUACUACUGGUGCUCAGAAAAUCAGCCCCCAGUUAUGUUAGCAGGAAUCUAUCCAAGUGCCUGCAACACCUGUAACUUUUAAUGUCUGGACCAAUUUUGUUUUUUCAAAUUGCACUGAGGUCCAAUUUUACAUGGAGUUCUGGAGGGAUGACGACAGCCAAGUUCAAUCAGAUUCAGCUGUCAGUAUUUAGCGUCAUUGAUGUCCUGACUUCAUUUCCUCUCCUAAAACACUAUACUGUAGUAGUUCAGGUGGGUAGCUGCAUCAGCAUGCGUAUGCUGCAAAGG